rnacentral:lncRNA from 1 species
UAAAAGUGAGAUAAUCAUAGCUUAUAUACACACACGCACACACAGAAUAAUAGGAACUUAUUACUCGGCUGCAUUGAUAAAUAUUGUCACCAAUUAAGACACCAUUAGUUUGAAACGUUUGAUAUUUUUUACAAAAUAAACAAAUGAGUUAUUUUAAAAACAUUAGACUUAUGAAAGUUCCCUUAAUUUAAUGUGUGGUUGCUAACUUAUGAGAAAUUCAACCAAAGUUUUUGCUAGCAAGUAUACAAAUUGCGGUGAAAA